rnacentral:rRNA from 1 species
CCUACGGGAGGCUGCAGUGAGGAAUAUUGGUCAAUGGACGAGAGUCUGAACCAGCCAAGUAGCGUGAAGGAUGACUGCCCUAUGGGUUGUAAACUUCUUUUAUAUGGGAAUAAAAUGUUCCACGUGUGGGAUUUUGUAUGUACCUUAUGAAUAAGGAUCGGCUAACUCCGUGCCAGCAGCCGCGGUAAUACGGAGGAUCCGAGCGUUAUCCGGAUUUAUUGGGUUUAAAGGGAGCGUAGGUGGAUUGUUAAGUCAGUUGUGAAAGUUUGCGGCUCAACCGUAAAAUUGCAGUUGAUACUGGCAGUCUUGAGUACAGUAGAGGUGGGCGGAAUGCGUGGUGUAGCGGUGAAAUGCUUAGAUAUCACGAAGAACUCCGAUUGCGAAGGCAGUUCACUGGACUGCAACUGACACUGAGGCUCGAAAGUGUGGGUAUCAAACAGGAUUAGAUACCCUAGUAGUC